UUCCAGACUCCUACGGGAGGCAGCAGUGGGGGAUAUUGCACAAUGGGGGGAACCCUGAUGCAGCGACGCCGCGUGGGUGAAGGAGCGUUUCGGCGCGUAAAGCCCUAUCGGCAGGGAAGAAGGAGGACGGUACCUGACUAAGAAGCCCCGGCUAACUACGUGCCAGCAGCCGCGGUAAUACGUAGGGGGCAAGCGUUAUCCGGAUUUACUGGGUGUAAAGGGUGCGCAGGCGGCACGGCAAGCCGGCGGUCAAAUCGCGGGGCUCAACCCCGCCCAGCCGUCGGAACUGCCGGGCUAGAGUGGGCGAGAAGUGCGCGGAAUGCGUGGUGUAGCGGUGAAAUGCAUAGAUAUCACGCAGAACUCCGAUUGCGAAGGCAGCAUGCCGGCUUCCGACUGACGCUGAAGCACGAAAGCGUGGGGAUCGAACAGGAUUAGAUACCCGAGUA
rnacentral:rRNA from 1 species